CCGUUUUCUUCAAGAGGGAGUUCAACCGCAACUGGCCCUUCCUCGUCGGCUUCGCCAUUACCGGAACCAUCAUCACGAAGUUUUCCCUUGGUCUCACCGAGGAAGAUGCCAAGAACUCGCCCUUCGUUCAGAGGCACAAGAGGUGAUCAGCUGAUUUCAAAAGCCUAUGUGGUUGCACUUCUUUUUAUGAUGUGUUUUUCUUUUUUUGGUUACUAUGAACUAUAAAAAUAACAGAAGACAACUGUUGUGGGUACUCUAGUUUUUGAAUUGUGAUUCUUGUCGUCAUUUAAUGGUUUGGCCUUGAAUAAUGUUAAAACACAUCUAUAAUUAGUCUGUUUAUCUGGUAUCCAUGAUUUUGGUUUAUCA